rnacentral:lncRNA from 1 species
GCGGCGGAGGAGGUCGACCGAGUCGGGCGCGUGGGGGUGGCGCGCGGGGUCGAACUCGCGGAAGUUGAACUCCCAGGUGACGCAGCGGCAGGCGUCGGAGAGGGUGAGGCCGAGCUGGAUGAGGUGGAGGGAGUUGACGUUGCGGCGGAGGAGGGCGUAGCGGUCGAGCGGGGAGAGGAGGGCGUGGGGGCCGCGGGGGAGGUGGACGACGCCCGGGAACUCCGUGUCCAGGGUCGCGUAGGGCAGCCGCUCCACCGCCGACCGGAUCAGCUCGAACUCCGACUCCAGGUUCUCCGCCCACACCGACCGGACCUCCACCUCCACCUGCACCUCGCCGCCCCGCUUCGCCUCCUCCACCCACGCCAUCUUCUAUCUAUUUUGCGAUUUUGAUUCUGAUUUUGGGAUUUUGAUUUUG